rnacentral:rRNA from 1 species
AAAAUACGGGAGGCAGCAGUGGGGAAUAUUGGACAAUGGGGGCAACCCUGAUCCAGCAAUUCUGUGUGCACGAAGAAGGUUUUCGGAUCGUAAAGUGCUUUCAGCAGGGAGGAAGGAAGUGACUGUACCUGCAGAAGAAGCGACGGCUAAAUACGUGCCAGCAGCCGCGGUAAUUUUU